UGGGCGUGAAGAAAAGAAAUCAUAAAAAGUAAAAAUUCGGGGGACUGAUUUAGAAAUUUUCAUGAAAUAAAUCCAAAAUAGCCCUUGAAACUUGUAAGCGUUUUCGGCGUGAAGAAAACCACUUCCUUUUUCUUGUAACUUCUGCUGAGUACAUAUCACAAACACAGAGUUGCAGUGUUUCGCUUUCGCUUUAGAUUUCUGAUUCACAAAACUUGGUACUUUGUUGUGUCAGAAAUGAGUGACCCCAAAUAUGCCUAUCCAUACCCUGCCCAACACCAAGGGUAUUAUCAAGGUCCUCCAGUCAUGGCACCCCCACAAUAUUAUGCUGCUCCACCACCACCUAGAAGACAAACUGGAUUCCUUGAGGGAUGUCUUGCAGCUCUGUGUUGUUGCUGCCUCAUAGAUGAGUGCUGCUGUGACCCCUCAAUCAUAUUUAUCAGCUGAUAGCAUCAAUAAUCAAAGUUGCUGCAGCAAUUAAUCUAGUGGAAAAAAAUAAAAUAAUAAACAAUAUGUAGUGUGAUGUGAUGCUUGUGUAGUUGUAUAUUGUUACUCUGUCUACAACUUAUUACUUAUGUUGGUGUUUGAUUGAUCAUUAACAUGGUUUCUUUCCGAUCCACUUAGUCUUUCAUGUUCUUGGUGUGGUUCUGCCUCUCCGGUGAUUUGAAUUGUAAUGUGGAAGACAAACAAUUAUUGUGAAUUCAAUUGGGUCCCUCUGUUCCCCCAA